UACGUAGGGUGCGAGCGUUGUCCGGAAUUAUUGGGCGUAAAGAGCUCGUAGGCGGUUUGUUGCGUCGGCCGUGAAAACCUGCAGCUUAACUGUGGGCCUGCGGCCGAUACGGGCAGACUUGAGUUCGGUAGGGGAGACUGGAAUUCCUGGUGUAGCGGUGAAAUGCGCAGAUAUCAGGAGGAACACCGGUGGCGAAGGCGGGUCUCUGGGCCGAUACUGACGCUGAGGGGCGAAAGCGUGGGGAGCGAACAGG
rnacentral:rRNA from 1 species